rnacentral:rRNA from 1 species
AACUCUGAUAAUAGACCGGGAUUAGAUACCCCGUUAUAUAGAGCCAAAAUCUAGAGCUUUAGCACUAAGACUUUAUAGUUAAAACUAAAAUGACAUGGCGGCAGUUUAAAAUUUCAGGGGAACUUACCAGAUAAAUGAUAACCCGCAAGAUACCCCACUUUUGCUAAAAGUUUGUAUAUCGUCGUCGUCAGAGCUUGUUUAAGACAAGUUUUAAAUGUAUUCCACAAAAAGACAGAUCAAGACGCAGCCUAUGCAAAAGUCAGUAAGGUGAGUUACAAUAAUGUAGAAUUAUGGAUUUAGUUUUAAACAAACGAUUUGAUACCCCGUUAUAUAGAGCCAAAAUCUAGAGCUUUAGCACUAAGACUUUAUAGUUAAAACUAAAAUGACAUGGCGGCAGUUUAAAAUUUCAGGGGAACUUACCAGAUAAAUGAUAACCCGCAAGAUACCCCACUUUUGCUAAAAGUUUGUAUAUCGUCGUCGUCAGAGCUUGUUUAAGACAAGUUUUAAAUGUAUUCCACAAAAAGACAGAUCAAGACGCAGCCUAUGCAAAAGUCAGUAAGGUGAGUUACAAUAAUGUAGAAUUUUGGAUUUAGUUUUAAACCAACUAAGGAAACCGGACUUGAAAGUAAAUAAUAAAAUAAUUAUUUAUUGAAUUUUCAUAAAACUGUGCACAAAUCGCCCGUCACUCUCGUCGAAAGAUGAGAUAAGUCGUAACACAGUAAGUGUACCGGAAGGUGUACUUG